GAUGAACGCUGGCGGCGUGCCUAAUACAUGCAAGUCGAGCGAACGGACGAGAAGCUUGCUUCUCUGAUGUUAUCGGCGGACGGGUGAGUAACACGUGGAUAACCUACCUAUAAGACUGGGAUAACUUCGGGAAACCGGAGCUAAUACCGGAUAAUAUUUUGAACCGCAUGGUUCAAAAGUGAAAGACGGUCUUGCUUUCACUUAUAGAUGGAUCCGCGCUGCAUUAGCUAGUUGGUAAGGUAACGGCUUACCAAGGCAACGAUGCAUAGCCGACCUGAGAGGGUGAUCGGCCACACUGGAACUGAGACACGGUCCAGACUCCUACGGGAGGCAGCAGUAGGGAAUCUUACGCGAUGGGCGAAAGCCUGACGGAGCAACGCCGCGUGAGUGAUGAAGGUCUUCGGAUCGUAAAACUCUGUUAUUAGGGAAGAACAUAUGUGUAAGUAACUGUGCACAUCUUGACGGUACCUAAUCAGAAAGCCACGGCUAACUACGUG
rnacentral:rRNA from 1 species